UUCGCAAUGCCCGAAAGGGUGACGAAGCGACGCCGCGUGGGUGAGGAAGGCCUUCGGGUUGUAAAGCCCUGUCAGGAGUUAAGAAAUGUAAGUGCGCUAAUAUCGCAUUUAUUUGACAAAGGCUCCAAAGGAAGCCACGGCUAACUCUGUGCCAGCAGCCGCGGUAAUACAGAGGUGGCAAGCGUUGUUCGGAAUUAUUGGGCGUAAAGAGCACGUAGGUGGGUUUGUAAGUCAGAUGUGAAAGCCUUCUGUUCAACGGAAGAAUUGCAUCUGAAACUGCAAGUCUUGAGUGUAGGAGGGGAGAAUGGAAUUUCUGGUGGAGCGGUGAAAUGCGUAGAUAUCAGAAGGAACGCCGGCGGCGAAAGCGAUUCUCUGGCCUAUUACUGACACUCAGUGUGCGAAAGCUAGGGGAGCAAACGGGAUUAGAUACCCCGGUAGUCCUAGCUGUAAACGAUGGGCACUAAGUAGAGGGGUUUU
rnacentral:rRNA from 2 species